UACAGAGGGUGCGAGCGUUAAUCGGAAUUACUGGGCGUAAAGCGCACGUAGGUGGCGACGUAAGUCGGGUGUGAAAGCCCCCGGCUCAACUGGGGAGGGUCAUUCGAUACUGAUCGACUCGAAGGCAGGAGAGGGUAGUGGAAUUCCCGGUGUAGUGGUGAAAUGCGUAGAUAUCGGGAGGAACACCAGUGGCGAAGGCGACUACCUGGCCUGUUCUUGACGCUGAGGCGCGAAAGCUAGGGGAGCAAACGGG
rnacentral:rRNA from 1 species